CCCUUAGAUGUUCUGGGCCGCACGCGCGCUACACUGAUGCAUUCAACAAGCCUAGCCUUGACCGAGAGGUCCGGGUAAUCUUUGAAACUGCAUCGUGAUGGGGCUAGAUUAUUGCAAUUAUUAAUCUUCAACGAGGAAUGCCUAGUAAGCGUGAUUCAUCAAAUCGCGUUGAUUACGUCCCUGCCCUUUGUACACACCGCCCGACGCUCCUACCGAUUGAAUGUGUUGGUGAGGAGCUCGGAUUGGCAGCAGUUGGUGGUUCGCCACCGGCUAUUGCUGAGAAGUCCUCCAAACCGCCCCAUUUAGAGGAAGGAGAAGUCGUAACA
rnacentral:rRNA from 1 species